AGGAUCUGUUGCUAAAAUCUUGGUGCCAGAUAACAAAGCACAUAUUCAGGGCUCUCUCUAGUGGAGUCCAUGUCUCAAUGGGUGAGGGCUCUUUAGGCUAACACAAUAUUUGGCAGGUGGUCAUAAUGUUAUGUCUGAUCAGUGUACAGUACAAUUCAGACAUGAUGCAUUCUGGAUUCAUUUUGUUUGAUUUAUACUUCUAAUCGAACUGCUUGACUGAUUUGGUUGGAUCAUGUGUUUGACAGCUGAUGAAGAAUGGUGUAUGACUGUGGGGUAGAGAUGAUGGACAUUGUGUCAUGGUCCCCGUGCCUCGCUGGCUGACUCUGUGGAUUUCUGGUCUGCGCCUGAGUCCACUUCAAACUCUGUGACAAAACGAUCCAGCCAUCAUGGAGGUCAGGUCAGGAUCCCGUGGCUCAGGCGCUGGCUGCCUAGGAAGCUGCAUUAGCUCGCCACAAACAAAUGCUUAUGCAACAGAGGAAUGAGAUUGCUCUGUUAACACAGGCUGUCGCCCACAUAACACCUCUGGAAAGCAACGCACAGCCAGGGAAUGCAGCUCCUCAGGCGUCCCCGGCGGCUAGCCCACCUCGGUAGCCACACCAUCUCCGGAGGGACCCCUGCCCACUCCAGAGCCAUUCUCGGGUGGAUGAGCGGCUGCUGGCCCGCCGGUCGCAACGAAACUAAUAGAAACUCCCAUGAGGUACUGGGGCAAUUAGGAGCGGGAGUCGCGCCUGAAUCCAGCUUCUCCCGGGCACGGGGCAUGCAGCUAUGCGGCUCUCAUCUCUCUGCUGCGGAACGGUAACGGCAAAUCUCCGCUGGUGAGUGCCUACACUGCAGUUGCAAAGGACAUGUUGUUGCCACCUGCCCAUCACAAGCAAAAGGGCGGGCCUGCCAGUAACUGUAGGAGUACUGGUGGGCGGGUUCGGUCAAGAAAAAUCUCCUCCACGAUUAAUGUUCUCAGCUAAAGUCUCCAUCUGAAGUAAUGGUCUGAAGAUCCCGAUGAAGCGGGCGUUAAAGCUGAAGGAUGUAUGGGUGAUGAAGAUGAUCAGGAAUCUGUCUCAGCAUGAUGGACCCGCCAAUAUCUCUGCAAUAUCUUUUUGCUGGUCUGAGAGACACAGUACUGUGACACUGUUGAAGCACACAUUCAUAGAAGCACUUUAUUUCUACGGAAGUGCUUUCUAUCUAACAUUAAUACUCAAAUCUGAAUGUUUGUAAUUUAUCAUGACAGAGGCAUGCACAAAAAUAUGAUUCCUGCUAUGGAUCUCUGAGAAAUGACAUGGGUUUUUUUGAAACUGUGCUGAGCAGUUUCGGACAAAACAAUAAAUAUAAUACAAUAAUAAAACCAACAAAUUACAUAAAAAUAAAAAGGGUUCUGUGGAUCUGUCGAUCAUUUCAGUGUCAAAAAGAUCUUAUACUGCUAAGAUCAGAAGACUAAAGGUUUGAAUUAAUUGAAUCUUCCAAGUAAGAACUGUUAUAAUGUGAUGUAUAUUACAGAAUUCUGUAUUUUCGUUGUAUUUAUUAAAUUGAAUCAGAGCCCAAAUUACAAAAGAAAUGUUUUAUUGUUCUACAACAAAAAUGUAAUAAUUAAUCUAAAUUCAAAUUCCAGAACCAAUUCACUGAACUUCAAUCUAUGCACUAGCAUUUCUGCACUCUGUGGAGCAUUCCUACAACAGAUGCUCUGAGUGCUCAGAGUAGAAAAGCACUAUGUAAGAACAUUUACCAUUUAUGAUUUCUAUUCAAAAGUGAUUUUCUCUGUUGAUCCUCUCUUUAAGUCAGAGCUUCUCUCAAAUUUCACAUCAGUGAUUAACUAACUGAUGAAUUUCUUGUGACUGACACGUGUGGUCAGCUCCCAGUCAGUGUGUGAUCACUACCAGACCUCAGAUCAACAUAAUUAGCUGUAGAUUAGAGACAGGCAGUGCAACAGGGCAAAGGAAGUGUUUCAUUGAAAUUAUCAGUGAGACCUAUUAAGUUGUGAACCACAUGAAAGGUAGCCAUUGGGGCUCUGGAGUGUGUCAGCAGCUGGACAGCAGAGGUGAGAGAGAAAGCAGAACUGUGGACACAAACACACACAUCAUUAUUGCUUGGCAAUGUGGGAUCCUUUUGGCAGCACACGCCAUAACUGCGCAGUCCUGAAAUGCUUGCCUUUGAUCAUUGCAGCUCUGCUCAUGUACAAAUACACAUUAACAUAGUGAUGGUUUCAUGUGAAACUUUAUAGAUGCUCCAAGUGGGACACAGGCCCAAUUCACAAUGAUAUUCUUAGCCUGGGUGUAUUUCCUUAGGAAUAUGUUCAAAGGCUCCCAAAACCUGUUAUGUGCUUCCUUAGCCCUGCUGUCAGCUUAUUUAUAUGAAAUUAGUCAUGUAAGAAAUGCUGAAGGACCUUUAAGUGCUCAAUCAAAUUCUGUGUCAUGAUGUUGUGUCACCCUCUUGGUGACAAAACAUGUCAGGACUAGUGCAAGGUGGAGGGUGAAGGAGGGGAGGGGAGGUCUGAGUAACACUGUAAUAGUCCAGGGAUUUGGGUGGUUGCAUAAUCUUCUUUCUUACCCCUCCUAUCUCAUCUUUUUCUGUCCUCAGAAGCAUGAUGAGGAUUGGGCGGGGGGGGAGAUCCAGAUGGAAAAAUUCUGCUUGCACAACAGUAAGUGGUUAGAAAUGAUGGAGAACCACUAACUGUAACGGUCCUGUGUCGGUGACCCAGUGUGUUCCGUUUUAUAUUAUUAAUUUUUGAUUUCUUGAUGUCUUAUUAGUUCUUAGGUUUUGGUUCUGUAUCAGUAUUGAGUUCCGUGUGUGUGUUUUCUUAGAUUUUGCCCAGUUUAGGUUUUGUAUGGUUUUUCUGUUCAGCAAUAAAGCUGCUUUUUGACUUUCACUCCCGCCUCAGUUGAGUCUGCAUUUGGGUU